rnacentral:rRNA from 1 species
GGGGGACGGGGGGGGGGGGGGGGGGGGGGGGGGGUCGGGGGGGCCUGCUUGGGGUGUCAGCGGCGGACGGGUGAGGAACGCGUGGGGACGGUCGCUCCGGUUCGGAAUAACUCAGGGAACCUUGAGCUAAUACCGGAUACGUGCGUGAGUCGACAGGUUUAUCUGCCGCAGGAUCGGCCCGGGUCUGAUUAGCUAGUUGGUGAGGUUAUGGCUCACCACGGGGACGAUCAGUAGCUGGUCUUAGCGGAUGAUCAGACGCACUGGGACUGAGACACGGCCCAGACUCCUACGGGAGGCAGCAGUGGGGAAUAUGCGACAAUGGGGGCAACCCUGAUCCUGCCAUGCCGCGUGAGUGAGGACGGCCUUAGGGUUGUAAAGCUCUUUUCUUCGGGACGAUAAUGACGGUACCGCAGGAAUAAGCCCCGGCUACCUUCGUG